AUGGAGUUCCCUUGUCGGUACCUGGGUUUGCAGCUGGCAAUUCGCAGUUUGACCCGGGCCGAGUGGCUGCCCAUGCUGGACCAGGUUCGCAAGUUCGUGCCGGCCUGGCAACGUGGCCUGAUUCAGCGGCCGGGACGCCUCGUCCUCGUGCAGUCGGUUGUCUCUGCUAGGCCCGUUCACCACUUGCUGAUCGCGGACGCGCCGGAGUGGGUGUUCGAGGAGAUGAACAAAUGGAUGAGAUCAUUUUUCUGGGCAGGCAAGGAGCGGUCGAACAGAGAACAGUGCUUAGUGGCUUGGGAUAAGGUUUGCACACCAAAGCAACUUGGCGGUUUGGGCGUUAGAAAUCUGAAGGCACACGCCCUUGCUCUCCGAGUUAGGUGGGAGUGGUUAAGGAGAACUGAUCCUAGACGGCCUUGGCAGGGGCUGUCGAUGAUCGAAGAUGCCAACGCACGAGCUGUGUUCGAUUCGAUGGUCCAAAUCACGGUUGACAGAGGAGAUGAGGUCCUUUUCUGGUGUGAUAGAUGGUUGCAUGGCUUCCGGAUUGCC
rnacentral:rRNA from 1 species